GACGAACCGUGCGCACGUUGUUCGGAAUCACUGGGCUUACAGGGUGCGUAGGCGGGCUGUCCAGUCUGGGGUGAAAUCCCACGGCUCAACCGUGGAAUUGCCUCAGAUACUGACGACCUCGAGGGAGGUAGGUGCGAGCGGAACUGUGGGUGGAGCGGUGAAAUGCGUUGAUAUCCACAGGAACUCCGGUGGCGAAGGCGGCUCGCUGGACCUCUUCUGACGCUGAGGCACGAAAGCUAGGGGAGCAAACGGG
rnacentral:rRNA from 1 species